rnacentral:rRNA from 1 species
UACGAAGGGUGCGAGCGUUAUUCGGAAUCAUUGGGCGUAAAGGGUGCGUAGACGGUGUAUUAAGUCUGUUGUUAAAUGCCUCGGCCUAACCGAGGACUCGCAGUGGAAACUAAUAUGCUAGAGGGUGGAAGAGAGAAGUGGAAUUCUCGGAGUAGCGGUAAAAUGCGUAGAUCUCGAGAGGAACACCAAUGGCGAAGGCAGCUUCUUGGUCCAUACCUGACGUUGAGGCACGAAAGCGUGGGGAGCAAACAGG